ACACAUUUGAAAUAGUGAUAACACACACAUAGCAAAACUUCAUAAUUUCACACACAAUGACAACACAUCCAACAGAAUAUUGAUGUUCAACAGAUCAAGACUUUUAGAAUGAUACCUCACAAGGCAUACUUUGUACAAAACAUAUAAU